AUGGCAAAGAAGGCCGCAAAGCGAGCUGUUGGUGAAGCAAGGGGUCGGGCAUAUGAGGACCUCUACCAACGGUUAGGCACGAAGGAAGGCGAAAGGGACAUCUAUAAGAUGGCCAAGAUCCGAGAGAGGAAGACGAGGGAUAUUGGCCAAGUCAAAUGCAUCAAGGACGGAGCAGGCCAACUCUUGGUGAAGGACGAGGAGAUUAAGCAUAGAUGGCGGGAGUACUUCGACAAGCUGUUCAAGGGGGAGAAUGAGAGUUCUACCAUUGAGCUGGACGACUCCUUUGAUGAGACCAACAUGCGUUUUGUGCGGCGAAUCCAGGAGUCUGAGGUCAAGGAGGCUUUAAAAAGGAUGAAAGGAGGCAAGGCGAUGGGCCCAAAUUGUAUCCCCAUUGAGGAGUGGAAAGGUCUCGGGGACAUAGCGAUAGUAUGGCUAACCAAGCUUUUCAACCUCAUUUUUCGGGCAAACAAGAUGCCAGAAGAAUGGAGACGGAGUAUAUUAGUACCAAUCUUCAAGAACAAGGGGGAUGUUCAGAGUUGUACUAAUUACCGUGGAAUUAAGCUGAUGAGCCAUACAAUGAAGGUAUGGGAGAGAGUCAUUGAGCACCGCUUAAGAAGAAUGACAAGCGUGACCAAAAAUCAGUUUGGUUUCAUGCCUGGGAGGUCGACCAUGGAAGCCAUUUUCCUGGUACGACAACUUAUGGAGAGAUAUAGGGAGCAAAAGAAGGACUUGCAUAUGGUGUUCAUUGACUUGGAGAAGGCCUAUGAUAAGAUACCGCGGAAUGUCAUGUGGUGGGCCUUGGAGAAACACAAAGUCCCAGCAAAGUACAUUACCCUCAUCAAGGACAUGUACGAUAAUGUUGUGACAAGUGUUCGAACAAGUGAUGUCGACACUGAUGACUUCCUGAUUAAGAUAGGACUGCAUCAGGGGUCAGCUUUGAGCCCUUAUCUUUUUGCAUUGGUGAUGGAUGAGGUCACAAGGGAUAUACAAGGAGAUAUCCCAUGGUGUAUGCUCUUUGUGGAUGAUGUCGUGCUAGUUGACGAUAGUCGGACGGGAGUAAAUAGGAAGUUAGAGUUAUGGAGACAAACCUUGGAAUCGAAAGGGUUUAGGCUUAAUAGAACUAAAACCGAGUACAUGAUGUGCGGUUUCAGUACUACUAGGUGUGAGGAGGAGGUUAGCCUUGAUGGCCAGGUGGUACCUCAGAAGGACACCUUUCGGUACUUGGGGUCAAUGCUGCAGGAGGAUGGGGGUAUUGAUGAAGAUGUGAACCAUCGAAUCAAAGCCGGGUGGAGAAGUGGCGCCAAGCUUCUGGCAUUCUCUGUGACAAGAGUGUGCCACAAAAGCUAA
rnacentral:rRNA from 1 species